GAUGAACGCUGGCGGCAUGCCUUACACAUGCAAGUCGAACGGUAACAGGCCGCAAGGUGCUGACGAGUGGCGAACGGGUGAGUAAUGCAUCGGAGCGUGCCCAGUCGUGGGGGAUAACGCAGCGAAAGCUGUGCUAAUACCGCAUACGAUCUAUGGAUGAAAGCGGGGGACCGUAAGGCCUCGCGCGCUUGGAGCGGCCGAUGUCAGAUUAGGUAGUUGGUGGGGUAAAGGCUCACCAAGCCAACGAUCUGUAGCUGGUCUGAGAGGACGACCAGCCACACUGGGACUGAGACACGGCCCAGACUCCUACGGGAGGCAGCAGUGGGGAAUUUUGGACAAUGGGCGCAAGCCUGAUCCAGCAAUGCCGCGUGCAGGAAGAAGGCCUUCGGGUUGUAAACUGCUUUUGUACGGGACGAAAAGGUUUGGGUUAAUACCCUGGGCCGAUGACGGUACCGUAAGAAUAAGCACCGGCUAACUACGUGCCAGCCGCCGCCGUAA
rnacentral:rRNA from 1 species